CCUACGGGAGGCAGCAGUGAGGAAUAUUGGUCAAUGGGCGCGAGGCUGAACCAGCCAAGUCGCGUGAAGGAAGAAUGCCCUAUGGAUUGUAAACUUCUUUUGUAAGGGAGUAAAGUGAACCACGUAUGCCUGUUUGCGUGUACCUUAUGAAUAAGCAUCGGCUAACUCCGUGCCAGCAGCCGCGGUAAUACGGAGGAUGCGAGCGUUAUCCGGAUUUAUUGGGUUUAAAGGGAGCGUAGGCGGGUUGUUAAGUCAGUUGUGAAAUUUGGGGGCUCAACCGGAACACUGCGGUUGAUACUGGCAAGCUUGAGUACAGGAGAGGUAGGCGGAAUUCGUGGUGUAGCGGUGAAAUGCGUAGAUAUCACGAAGAACUCCGAUUGCGAAGGCAGCCUACUGGA
rnacentral:rRNA from 1 species